rnacentral:rRNA from 1 species
GAUAAACGCUGGCGGCGCACAUAAGACAUGCAAGUUGAACGGACUUAAUCGAAAUAUUUAUAUUUUGAAGCGGUUAGUGGCGGACUGGUGAGUAACGCGUAAGGAACCUGCCUAUUAGAGGGGAAUAACAGUGAGAAAUCAUUGCUAAUACCGCAUAUGCCAUAGAUAUCACAUGAUAACAGUGGGAAAGGAGCAAUCCGCUAAUAGAUGGCCUUGCGUCUGAUUAGAUAGUUGGUGGGGUAACGGCCUACCAAGUCGACGAUCAGUAGCCGGACUGAGAGGUUGAACGGCCACAUUGGGACUGAGAUACGGCCCAGACUCCUACGGGAGGCAGCCGUCGGGAAUAUUGCGCAAUGGAGGAAACUCUGACGCAGUGACGCCGCGUAUAGGAAGAAGGUUUUCGGAUUGUAAACUAUUGUCGUUAGGGAAGAGAAAGGACAGUACCUAAGGAGGAAGCUCCGGCUAACUACGUG